rnacentral:rRNA from 1 species
UACGUAGGGGGCUAGCGUUGUCCGGAAUCAUUGGGCGUAAAGAGCGCGUAGGCGGCCAGAUAAGUCCGGUGUGAAAGUCAAAGGCUCAACCUUUGAAUGCCGCUGGAAACUGUCUGGCUAGAGUCCGGGAGGGGCGAGUGGAAUUCCUGGUGUAGCGGUGAAAUGCGCAGAUAUCAGGAGGAACACCAAUGGCGAAGGCAGCUCGCUGGAGCGGUACUGACGCUGAGGCGCGAAAGCGUGGGGAGCAAACAGG